rnacentral:piRNA from 1 species
UACUUAGUGUAGCGUUGGUAUGAGAACAG